GAAGUGCUUGCACUUCUGACGUUAGCGGCGAACGGGUGAGUAACACGUAAGGAAUCUACCUAUAAGCGGGGGAUAACAUUCGGAAACGGGUGCUAAUACCGCAUAAUAUCUUCUUCCGCAUGGAAGAAGAUUGAAAGACGGCUCUGCUGUCACUUAUAGAUGACCUUGCGGUGCAUUAGUUAGUUGGUGGGGUAACGGCCUACCAAGACGAUGAUGCAUAGCCGACCUGAGAGGGUGAUCGGCCACAUUGGGACUGAGACACGGCCCAAACUCCUACGGGAGGCAGCAGUAGGGAAUCUUCCGCAAUGGGCGAAAGCCUGACGGAGCAAUGCCGCGUGAGUGAAGAAGGCCUUCGGGUCGUAAAACUCUGUUAUAAGAGAAGAACAAAUUGUAGAGUAACUGCUACAGUCUUGACGGUAUCUUAUCAGAAAGCCACGGCUAACUACGUGCCAGCAGCCGCGGUAAUACGUAGGUGGCAAGCGUUGUCCGGAUUUAUUGGGCGUAAAGGGAGCGCAGGUGGUUUCUUAAGUCUGAUGUGAAAGCCCACGGCUUAACCGUGGAGGGUCAUUGGAAACUGGGAAACUUGAGUACAGAAGAGGAAUGUGGAACUCCAUGUGUAGCGGUGGAAUGCGUAGAUAUAUGGAAGAACACCAGUGGCGAAGGCGACAUUCUGGUCUGUUACUGACACUGAGGCUCGAAAGCGUGGGGAGCAAACAGGAUUAGAUACCCUGGUAGUCCACGCCGUAAACGAUGAGUGCUAGGUGUUGGAGGGUUUCCGCCCUUCAGUGCCGCAGUUAACGCAUUAAGCACUCCGCCUGGGGAGUACGACCGCAAGGUUGAAACUCAAAGGAAUUGACGGGGACCCGCACAAGCGGUGGAGCAUGUGGUU
rnacentral:rRNA from 1 species